rnacentral:lncRNA from 1 species
UGCACCCGGGAGGAAAGGCGAGGCUCUGCAUCUAGAUUUACCUCGUUCUCUUUUGUCUCCGCUUUUUUUUCACAUUUCCUUGCGACCCUGGCCCUUGAGCGACAAAAAGGGGAAGCCAAGGCUGGCCCGAGGAACGGAGAGGGCACAUGGCCUAGCCACAAGUGGAGCUUCUGCUCCGCCCGAAGGGAUGCGCUGGAGCGGCCUCUUCCUUCUGCCACGGUCUUUCUUUGCCAACUAGUAGGUGAGGGCCGAAAGGCCGCGGGCCGUGGAGCUCGGGCCGGGGAGACUCUUUUCUAGCCUCUUGGGUCCCGCUCCUCCCAAUUCCCUGGAGAGGCGUCGAGCUUGCUGGGAAGUGCCCUCGGGUGGAGACUGGACCUCAGAAGAGGGAGUGGGUGCCCCGAGAACUCACAGCUAGCGGACAGUGGAAAGGGCAGGAGCCGGACCAAGGUGAGGACAGUGGAACUGAAGGCCGCUGGUUACCUCUCCUGCCCUCCGCUGGCCACAGUGGAGAAGACAGCCCCUCCCUCCUGCUCUGACCUGACAGUGUUCAUCCAUCGCCCUGUAUUAGCGAAGAACAACAUCAAGCUGGCUAGCAAGGAACUGUAUACAGGGUCCAGCUGGGUAUCACACUGGAUCUCACCCAAAGCUUAGAUGUGAUCCAGCUCAGUAUCACAAAGCAGAACGAAAAGGAUGUGUUUGGGCUGAGAGGCCAUACAUUGGCUCCGGCAUGACGGGUGACUUCUUCCGAGUCUGGCUUCUGCAGCACACAGGGCUUCGCCAGCACCCAGCUCCUGCAGCAUGGGCAGCUCCUGUGACAGCAGGCGCCCGCAGCCUGCAAAGCGUCUCCAGUGCCGCCGCCUCAGUGAACCUCAACCAGCGGCACCUAGCAGCUUUCUCUGCCACCCUCUUCAGGCAGGAAGCCCGCCUGACCCCAUGUCUCAGGCUGCCAGAGGAGCGUGCGAUGAGGAAGGCUGGACUGUCUUCACAGGACACCAGGGAGAAGCCUCAAGCCACUGCCCCCUGACAAGUCGCAGCUCUCCAGCCUGUCUCCUCACUCCCCUCCCCUCCACAUGGGGGGGUUGGGGUGGGGGCGGGGAAGGUUCGGGGCAGGGGUCAUUUCAGCUACUGGGCACCAGUCUCCUCCUCAUGUUUAUCCUGUUCCCUUUGCUUGAAAGGUUCGUACUCCAGAUCCUUGUAAAACCGCUUCUCACCCUUUGAGUCUCAGCUUAAAUGUCCCCUCCUUGGAGGGGUCUUCCCUGACAAUGAAGCUCCGACCGUCCUCUCCUGUUUUACCCAGUUCAUUUCUUUCUGGCAUUUGUAACUACUUGAAGUUAAAGUGUGUGCCAUGUAUGUGUCUGUCAGUUUCCCCCACCACACUGGAACCCCAUGAGGGCAAGGGUCUUGUCUGGAAUCUUCCUCACUUACAACUCAACAUUUAGCAAAGGACCUUUGCUAAAUUAACAGGCAUUCAUUUUGUAUUUGAAAAAUGAACUAGUGAGGCCGGGCGUGGUGGCUCACACCUGCAAUCCCGGCACUUUGGGAGACCGAGGCGGGCUUGAGGUCAGGAGUUCGAGACCGGCCUGGCCAACAUGGUGAAACCCCAUUAAAAAUACAAAAAUUGGCUGGGCGCGGUGGCUCACGCCUGUAAUCCCAACACUUCGGGAGGCUGAAGCGGGCGGAUCACGAGGUUAGGAGUUCAAGACCAGCCUGACCAACAUAGUGAAACCCCAUCUCUACUAAAAAUACAAAAAUUAGCCGGGCAUGAUGGCAGGCGCCUGUAAUCCCAGCUACUCGGGAGGCUGAGGCGGAAGAAUCGCUUGAACCAGGAGGUGGAGAUUGCCGUGAGCUGAGAUCACGCCACUACACUCCAGCCUGGGCAACAGAGCACGAAUCCAUCUCCGAAAAACAAACAAAAAAACGAAUGUGUGAGGAACGCAGCAAAGCCCCUACAGUUAACGUUUGCCGCCCUCUGCCCCUCAG